GGCCUUUAGCUCCACAAGUAUUAAAGGUCCCGCCUGCCCAGUGAAUUCCCUUAAAUUAAACGGCCGCGGUAUCAUAACCGUGCAAAGGUAGCGUAAUCACUUGUCUACUAAAUAUAGACCCGUAUGAACGACUAGAUGAGGGCACACCUGUCUCCUGGGGCCAGUCAAUAAAACUGAUCUACCAGUACAAAAGCUGAUAUAACACCAUAAGACGAGAAGACCCUGUGGAGCUUUAAAUAAACUACUAAUCCAGAAAGUAUUAACACCACCACGGUGCCACAGUAGUGGAUAUAGUAGUAAUUUUCAGUUGGGGCGACUAAGGAAUACAACAAACCUUCCAUGCAACCGAACUAAUCGUCAAUCAAGGCUGACAGGCCAAUAAUUUGACCCAGUAGUUAAACUGACCAACGAACCAAGUUACCCCAGGGAUAACAGCGCUAUCCCUUUCAAGAGUUCCUAUCGCCAAAGGGGCUUACGACCUCGAUGUUGGAUCAGGACCCCCCGGUGGUGCAGCCACUACCAAUGGUUCGUUUGUUCAACGAUUAAAGUCCU
rnacentral:rRNA from 1 species